UUACAAAUUACCCAGCCUUGGGUAUUACUCUACAGCCAUGCGAGAAUGGCCUAACACAGGUGGUAAGAGAAGUCCGUGUGGGGGUGUCGGGAGGCUGGGAACAGCGGCACCCCUGGAUGGUUCGAUGGGCCGGUGCGUCCUGGGAGGUCCUGAGCCAUCUGACUAUGGAGUCAGUGAUGGAAACCACGGGGGAAAGGAAAGGUCAGAGUGAGCCCGCAGAAGGGAGAGCCUCUUCAUGACAGGUCCGUGAGGUGAUUCGGACGCACAAGGGUAGGACACGGGAUUCUCUUCAGUGAAAACUACUUUGUGAGGCCUUAACGCCAUUUCUCUGGUACAGAUGGGGGUCUGAGGAACCAAGUGCUCCGCCUGAACAAGGACGACCUGGAGAGGUCUGUUGCCUGAAUGAGAGUCACUGAGUUUACACUGCAGGAGAGCAGCUCCCAAGACCAAGGCCCUGCGAUUCCCAGAGGCCGUCGGACUGCCGCAUCCCUUGGCGUGAACGGUGGGCGUGGAGAAGGACCCAGAGUCUGGAGCCUACAUCCUGGAGGACUGUGGCCCUGAACUUUGGUUAAACACAAACAAGCCCCAAGAAAAGGGAAAGCGAAAACCAGAGGCACUGGAGGAAUCACAACAAAAAGCACCUUGAGAAGCACCUACAAGACAGCAGCGCAGCGUGGCCAGCUCCCUGCCUCAAGCACCAGGCAGGCUAACCCAGGUUCCGAGAGGGGGCAGGUCAACACUGGAUAAAAUAAACUCCAGGAGGCCGGGCACAGUGGCUUACGCCUGUAAUCCCAGCACUUUGGGAGGC
rnacentral:lncRNA from 1 species